rnacentral:rRNA from 1 species
AUUGAACGCUGGCGGCAGGCCUAACACAUGCAAGUCGAGCGAGCGGCGGAUGGGUGCGUAAUGUAUGUGUACUGCCCGAUAGAGGGGGAUAACCACUGGAUACGGUAGCUAAUAACGCAUACUAUCGGAUAACCCAGAUGUGAGUAGCUAGUAGGUGAGGUAAUGGCUCACGAAGGCGACGAUCCCUAGUUGGUCUGAGAGGAUGAUCAGCCACACUGGGACUGAGACACGGCCCAGACUCCUACGGAGGCAGCAGUGGGGAAUAUUGCACAAUGGGCGCAAGCCUGAUGCAGCCAUGCGGCGUGUAUGAAGAAGGGCCUAGGAUUGUAAAGUACUUUCAGUCGGGAGGCGUUACCGACAGAAGAAGCACCGGCUAACUCCGUGCCAGCAGCCGCGGUAAUAC